UCACUUAAAGCGGAUGAUGGAGGGGGGAAACACUAAGCCUGGGUCACUGUUGAUGCCAUUUGAAAAAGGACCACCGCCCCACUACUGUGUUGUUCCGGGGUGACCCUGAAAUCAAGCAGUGACGGGAACUCCUCCGAGUGAGCGGUGUUUUGGGCAGUGCAUUUGCUGGUAAUGGGGUGUGCAAGGAGCAGUGAGCAGAGGUCAUGACCAGCGACCACUUUGAAGUGUCAGUGAUAGGAUCAAGUGUGACCUGAAGGACGAGCUGUCUGUGUUUCACCAGUGACACGUCUACAUCCCUUUCUGUGCUCUAAAGGCUGCGUGCCGUCAACAGCCUGCAACUCUCCGCCUCCCAGCCAUUCUACUGGCUUCUGGAGGGAACACGGCUGGACCACGGGAGAGAAGAUGCUGGAGAUGCUGGAAAGAAAAUGCCCCUGGAAGCAGCCGGUGCACGAAGACAGGUGAGUUUUGCAGGUCAGUCGACAAGUUGGUGGUUGAGAUCAGCCAUGGAGGAAGGAUUUACCCAUAGAAAUCAUCAAACAAUGUAAGUCAUGUCCCCCACCCCCACCCCGCCACCGGAGAGCAGGUUGUUAAACAUUUCCCAGCAAACCACUGUGCUCUGGUACAAAGUUGGCCCCAGGAAAAGAGGAAGUGUGAACGUGUCAGGAAAAGGUCCACAUCUGAUCGUAGCUGGAGAAAGCCCCCUCUGUCAUAUCCCUAUCACAGCUGGGGAGAACCCAGAAUACAUUGAGGGCAAUGACCGGGGGGCUAUGCCCAGUGGGAGCACACGUGUGUGCCUGCCCCACACUAGCUCCCGUGAUCCAGCCAACCCUGCCGAAAGAGUAAGCGUCCAGGAAGCAAUUAAACACAAUGCGGAGUGCCGCCCCUAGGGGAAACCCUGGAGAUCCCGGAGGAAAAGGGCAUGCCUGCGUGCUCACAGAACAAACUUCGCUUGCACGACCCAGCCUUGGGCAUUACCAGCUUGGCCCAUCCCUACAACACGAGCCUGCCAGAAAAUUUAAGAAAUCAGCCCUCUGCUGAAGCGUUGAUACUGGCCCUGAAUCUUCUUGGGUCCGAUGGCUUAACUAAACUUGUCAUUGGCAUUAGGACCCCAGGCUCCCCGCCCCCUGCCCCCAAUCUUGUUGAUUUCAUGAGCAAUCUCCAAUAAGAAUCCCCCAACUCUGGCUUUGGGGGUGAAUACGUCUCUCCCUUAACCCUGGACCGGCAUCCCAGCCAAUGCAUCCUCAGAUCACCAAGACAAGCAAGGGAUGGUGCUGUCACAGGGGAGGCAUUCAGUCAUUCUUCCAGGAAUCUAGUUUCAGAGUUCAACCUCCCUUCCUUGACAACGUUUUUAAGAUGACCACUGUGCAGCGUCCCUUCUGUGGCAUUCUGCUGGUCUCCAGGCCAGCCCAGAUCCAGGGACAAAGUCAACCCGCAAAUUGCAUGGACAUGCAGUUCAUGGGAGUGGGGGGCGUCGUUAUUCUAACAACUUGCUACAGUCCUUGAUUUCCAUUUCCAUAGCUGAGCCCACUCUUGGAGAAACUCCCCAGGUUCCAGUAUCCUCGAUCUGGCUCAGGACCUGGUGUUGUCCUCAAAUUCCGCUCUGGCUGAGCGCUGUUAGCCAGCGGGACCCAGAAUUGAACAAUGGCCUUUUCCCCAGGUAACUGAAAAAAAAAAUUAACUGGAAAUAAAUCCUUUUUGCAGUUAAAAUUUUACUUUCAUAAAAUGUGGUGAAGCACGAUUUCUCAAACUUACUUGCUUUCUAAGCCCCUUACCCAAAUUUUGAGACCCCAAAGCCCUAUUGUGUUUACCGUAUUUGGAAUUGAAACUGAGAGUUCUUUAAAUGUUGACUUAAUUAAUUCAUUUAGCAAUAACAAUGAUGAACUCAUACAAAACAACAAAAAAUAAUAAUGAACUUGUUACAGAGUAACAAAAAUUUUUAUUGCUAUGGAAAAUAACUUUAUUUUCCAGAAUAAUCCCCGUCCCCAAAAAAGUAUUAGUGAGGAGGAUGGCAUUGUUUUGCAUUUUCUCAAAUCUCUUUAAUGUCAGAUCUCGUAGGAAGCAGCUGUAUUCUCUCAUACCUCCUUCUGCAUUCAGUCUGUUGCAAUAUGUUGUUUUAGUUGAAGUGUGUGAAGAAAUUAUGGCCUUACACAUGUAUAUAUGAUUGGAAAGGAAAGGAGUGUUUUAACAGCCACGUCAAAUAAUUGUGUAUAUUCUUCUUUGGUAUCUUACUAAAACUUGACAAGUGGUAAAGUUUCUUACAGGUUAAUUGCAGAGUGCCUGGCUGGCUCAGUUAGUAGAGCAUAUGACUCUUGCUCUUGGGAUCAUGAGUUCAAGCCCCACGAUGGGAGUAGAGGUUACUUAAAAAAAAAAAAAAAAGGCUAACUGCAGCAAGUAAUCUAAAACCAUAUCCACAUACAUAAAUCUUUUGGUUUAUCUCGCAUUUUGCAAUGGAUCUCUUACAUAUGCAUGAUUUUGUCAUAUCAGGCUUUGCUCAUUUAGGAGAUAUUUGUUCACUGAGUUAUGCAGCUUUUCUAAAUGUUGACACAUUUCAUAAAGAAGAAGAGAAUCAAAUUCGUUAAUACCGCCACCCAUCUCAUCAAAACAUUUUUUAAGUAUUGGGAAACUGUCAAGCUCAUGGUGGCAGAUACAAAUGUUCUAAAAUUCUAAUUUUCUCUUGGAAGCUCAAGUUUUAUUGCUGGCAAUAAAUACACGGUUAUUUUCUUUCACUCAUUUUCGAGAAAAAGUCUGCCAAGUACUCAAGUCUGAAGAAUCAUAGUUUGUUGGCCAGUUGUUUUUAAAAGAUGGUGUUCCAUUAAAAAAAAGGGGGGGGGGGGUAGUGACCAGCUCAUGACAGCUCAUGACAAAUGAUUGUGCAAAGACUUUUCUUCAAGACAACCACUGUGUUCUGUGCAAACUUGCCAUCUCACUGUUCACAGUAUGAAAAGAACAUACGUACUCAAGAGUGCAGAUUUCAUGAAAUCUAUACUUUUACUGCUUCUAAUGAACUAAUUCUUAAGUGAAACUGGAUGUUUUUUUGGCCUUGCAAGGGUGUGGUAAUGAAUAAUACAGCAACCAUGGCUGUAGUUUGGGUGCCAUUGUCUUGACUCGUGCUAAGACACCCACAGUCUAACCCAUCAUUUCUUUUGCACCAUUAGCAAAAGUGGAAAAUAAUGCCAGGUAUUAGGAUGAGAAAAGGUUUGACCUCAGAGACUCCCUGAAGGGGGUCUUGGGAAUCCCCGGGGCUCUCCAGACCACACUUUUGAGAACCACUCUACAACGGUGAAAAUGUCUUACACCUACAUGGGAGUGAACCUCACGAUUGUAAUGUUGAGAGAAAGAAGCCGGACACAAAAGAGUAUUGUGCAAUGUAAUUCUGUACAUAUAUAGGAAAUAAAGCGUCCCAAAACCUCAAGAACCCUGUCCAUGACCUUAAACGUCAGGAUGACAACUACUCUUGCAGCGGUAGGUCGUGCCUGAAAGAGAGCGUGAUGGGGGCUUGGAGCCGCUGGUCAAGCAGUUUUUCUUGUUUUCGAUGCCAGGCAUAGAAAUGGGUUUACUUUGUGAAAAUUCAUCAAGCUCAUGGUAUGUGUACUUUCCUAUAUGUAUAUCAUCGUCGAAUUAAGAGGUGUUUUUUUUUAAAGAUUUUAUUUAUUUAUUUGACAAGAGAUAGAGACAGCCAGCGAGAGAGGGACACAAGCAGGGGGAGUGGGAGAGGAAGAAGGAGGCUCAUAGCAG